CUCGCUCUCUUCUCUCUCUCUCUCUCUCUCUCUCUCUCUCUCUCUCUCUCUCUCUCUCUCUCUCUUUCUCUCUCUCUCUCUCUCUCUCGCGCGCGCGCAACUAUACUCAUGAGGAUUCUUGGCAUGUUUUCGCUGGCCGAUUUUGCAGAGUUGUACCGUUUUUUUCUCCCCCCCCCCUUCCCCUUCUCGGCAGUCGAGCCGCUGCUGCGCUUUCAUCUCGUCUAUAGCUUAUUUUUUCGCUCCUUCGCGACGCAGGACAUCUUCGCGAAUCUGCUCUAUAUAUAGAUAUAUAACUCUGUAUGUACAAGGCUGUACUCGUGUCGCUCGGCCGCUGUGGAGGCGUAAGCGAGAGAGCCGCGGGGCUGUUUGAUCGGGUUCAUCGAUCCCCGCAGCCGUAGAGCCGAGAUUAAGGCGUCUAUACAAGGCAUUUCCUUAAAUUCGCAUACUAAGUCGGUCGCGAUCGAAUGUCGCAAAUUUUUUGGAGUCACUUAUAUCCGUUCUACUAAUACAGAGGAUGAGAGGCACGGAUGCGCAUGCGCCCUGAAGCUCCACCCCCCACCCCGCGCAACUGUCCUUUUUUCCGGUUUUGCAGCAGAUAAUGGGACAGAGAUGAAGCUAUACACACCGUAUACAUACUCGAAUGCAUAUAGAUAUGUAGACACGCGUCGUUUCCGUCUUAUUAUUACCUGCGCGAAACGGGGUAAAACGUUUGCUCGACACAUAGUCCCGAGCAUGCGCGGCUCCGCCGUCAAAACGAGGAAUAAUUCUGUUGCGCCAAUCUGGAACGAGAAAAAAGAAGGCUUCGCUGGGGGGGGGGGACUAUGGAAUCGCCAUUAGGAACGCCUGGAGUAGGGGCACAAACAACGCAAACGGAAAACUUUUACUCGCUACAGUAACCGCAGAAACCACUGAAAGUGUUGAAUCGUAAAUAGUAGCAUACAUUCAGAACUGAUUAAAAAUGUAUUGUUAUUUUGGGAGUAAAAAACGUGUGUUCUACUGUGAUGUGAAACAACUGAAUACUGGAUCGAUGUGGAAAAAAUUGUAAAUGUAUACUAGAAUAUGCCAAGGGACAAAUAAAUAAUAAACACAAUCGAA